rnacentral:rRNA from 1 species
UCUCAGUUCGGAUUGCAGGCUGCAACUCGCCUGUAUGAAGUCGGAAUUGCUAGUAAUCGUGGAUCAGCAUGCCACGGUGAAUACGUUCCCAGGCCUUGUACACACCGCCCGUCACACCAUGAGAGCCGGGAACACCCGAAGUCCGUAGUCUAACCUAUAUGGAGGACGCGGCCGAAGGUGGGUUUGGUAAUUGGGGUGAAGUCGUAACAAGGUAUC